UGUGGUGCCUGCGGAGAGUUCAACAACUGAACCUAGUCUAGUAAUGUUGGGCCCUGCAGCCUGGCUGUUCUCUUGCCAAAUAGACCAACCAAUCGCAGCGGAGCAUGCGCACUACUGGGUUCCUUGCAGCACCACAAGAUGGCGCUCGCCUCCGUGCCGCCGGCCGCGCAGGGGAAAGAAACACUUUUCAAGAGAACCAGAAAGCUCACCUUCACCCAUCUACGGGUGCAUGGAACCCCGGGUGGUGAAGCGCCGUCUCGGCACAUGGUAGGCGAAGAACUGCGAGCGAAGUAUGGCUUCAGCUGCAAAACGUCCACGACGUCAACAGGUGGCGGACUUGAGGAUGGAUGAAACUGUAACGGCGCAAUCUCGUAAUUGACGUCGUUGACCUAGGACUUCAUAAGGCCCUGUGUAGCGAGAGAGAAGCUUCUGGGAGAGGCCAACCCGACGACAUGGUGACCAAAGCAGCAUCCAAGCACCUGGGGCGAACUGAACAUGGUCAUGGCACUGGUUGUAAUGCUCUUUUUGCAGAUGCUGCGAGGCUAAUAAGCAAGAUCGGGUGACUUGACGCACCAUGUGAGCGCGAUCGAUGACUUCACAAGCGUACUCAGUGGCAAUGCGAGGCACAGAAGGUAGGGUGGUGUCAAAGGGCAAAGUGGGGUUGCGACCAUACAAAAGAUAAAAGGGUGAACAUCCUGAGGUGUCAUGUCGGGACGAGUUAUACGCGAAUGUCACGUAGGCCAGCGUGGCAUCCCAGUCAUGGUGAUCAUUGGAAACCUACAUCGACAGCAUCUCUGUGAGUGUUCAGUUGAGACGUUCCGUAACACUGUUCGUUUGUGGGUGGUAGCUGGUGGACAGCUUGUACUCAGUGGCACAAGAGCGGAGGAGGUCGUUCACAACUCAAGACAAGAACAAGCGGCCAUGGUCUGUAAGUAACUGUCGAGGUGCACCGUGCUGGAGGAUGACGUUGUGAAGGAGAAAAUCGGCGACGCCAGUUGCGCAACUAGUCGGCAACGCCUUUGUUAUCGCGUAGUGUGUCGCGUAAUCAGUAGCGACAGCAAUCCACUUAUUCCCUCUAGUCGUCGUCGGAAAAGGGCCAAGCAGGCCAAGGCCUACGUGAAAGAAUGGUUCAGAGGGAACUUCAAUUGGAUGGAUUCGGCUGACAGGUGCCAGGGAAGGUUUCUUCAGGCGCUGACACAAUUCGCAAAUUGUGACAUAACGACGCACAGAGCGGUAGAGACCCGGCCAGAAGAACUGGCGUCACAUGCGGUCAUAUGUACGCAAAACUCCAAGGUGUCCCGCCAUCGGUGCAUCGUGAAAUUGUUCGAGAACGACGGAUAGCAGAUGAUGCCACCCAACCCGUCAGGGUUGGUUGGCGGUAGAGGAUCCCAUCAUGCAGCACGAACAUGCGGCACAUGCCAUCAGUGCUGCCAGAUUGCACUCCGACGAUGAUCGACUGUAAGGAUGCAUCGCGUUGUUGUUCAGCGCGCAUGUCGGUCAUGUCCACCAAGGCCAUCAUGGUCACCGGAUCAUGCACAGCAGGAUCGAGAGGAUCCACGGGGUGAUGCGAGAGACAGUCAGCAUCCUUGUGCAGAUGUCCAGACUUUUAGUUGACAACAAAAAAAAAUUUCUGGAGCUGCAAAGCCCAGCGACCAAGCCGUCCUGUGGGGUCCCGGAGGGAAGACAGCCAGCAGAGGGCGUGGUGGUCUGUGAUGACCGAAAACGUGCAGAUGUACAAAUAUGGCCAGAAUUUGGCGACAGCCCAACUUCGGACUUCGGUCGGUGCAGAUGGAUGAAAGUGGGUAAGUAUGGGAAGGGUGGUCAGAAAUCUUAUGAGAGUGGCGAACGUGUGAGCUUGCUCAGGGCCCCCAAGAGAAUGGCGUGUUCUUCUUUAGAAGAUCUGUCAAAGGCCUAGCAACGUCAGCGAAGUUUUUGACGAAACGGCGAAAGUAAGAACACAGGCCGACGAAGCAGCGCACGUCAGAAGCAGAACGUGGCACAGGGAAACUGCGUACGGCGCGAACUUUUUUCGGAUCUGGUUGGACACCGGAUGCGUCAACGAGGUGUCCCAACACGGUAAGCUGACGUCGCCCAAACUGACACUUCAUGGAGUUCAGUUGGAGGCCAGCUUUUCGGAAGACCGCAAGAAUGGCAGAGAGUUAGGUAAGGUGGCUGCCGAACGUGGGAGAAAAAACAAUAACGUCGUCAAAGUAACAGAGACAGGUGGCCCAUUUGUAGCCUCGCAGAAGAGAGUCCAUCAUACGUAUAAAUGUCGCAGGAGCAUUGCAUAGUUCAAAGGGCAUGACUUUGAACUGAUAUAAGCCAUCCGGCAUGAUGAAGGCCGUUUUCUCGCGGUCCAUUUCAUCAACUGAAAUCUGCCAGUAGCCGGAUCGAAGAUAGAUAGACAAGAAGCAUGUAGCUCCGUUCAAGCAGUCCAAGGCGUCAUCGAUGCAUGGUAGUGGGUAGACGUCUUUUCGGGUGAUCUUGUUUAAAUGGCGAUAACCGAAGCAAAAAUGCCAGGUACCAUCUUUCUUUCUUUCAAGGACGACAGGCGAAGCCCAAGGACUGGCUGAUGGCUUGAUGACCCCUUCGGGGAGCAUUUUGUCCACUUCUGAUUGGAUGACUCGAUGUUCAGCAUGCGAUACACGAUAGGGACACUGACGAAUAGGAUUCGUGUCUCCAGUGUUUAUACGGUGCUGAACAACAGAUGUUUGGCCUAAAGGCCUGUCGCCGAAAUCAAAGAUGUCACUAUAAGAUUCAAGCAGGAGAUGUAUGUUCAUGGCCUGUGCAGAGGUGAGGUCAGGUGCAAUCAUUUUCGCGAAGUCAUCUGUUAAGAAAGCAGAGCUGCGAGCUGCAAUUGGCAUUAAUAAACCACUCUCGGCAUUCAGAGUCUCAAUGUCAAAUUCGGAACCACUAGAAACACUGGCCAAGAACAUGCCAGCCGGAAUCAGUUGAGGGCACAGGCUGAAAUUUAGAAGCGAUAGAAUGACGUCGUUACUAGUAACCGUGACCAGCAUACGCGGAACAGCAACGUUCCGGUUCAAAAGCACGUCGAUGAUGGGGCGAAGCACACAUUCACUGUCAGGAACCUGUGGCUGGGCGGUGACGUAAGUAACUGCCUCGGGUGACAGACGAACAUCGUGAAGCGAGCACAAGUGCGGUGGGGCGGUGCUCGGAGCAUCGGCGAGUUGAGGCAGUUCUAACUGGAGAACGCCGGUCGCGCAGUCGAUGAGAGCAGAAUGAUUCGAUAAAAGUCCAAUCCAAGGAUAACGUCGUGAGGGCAGUUAUCGAUCACAGCAAUGAAAACAGAAGUAGGGCAACCGGCUAUACUUAAACGCGCAGUACACAUUCCAAGAACAACCAGCAUGCCGCCGUUGGCCACACGAAGCACUCGGGCAGCUGCUGGCAUGAGGACCUUUUUCAAAUGUCUACGCAGGCUAGCACUCAUCACAGAUACGUGGGCUCCAGUGUCGAUGAGUGCUUGCACAGGUACGCUAUCUAUUUCAACGUCAAUUAUACUUCUCAUUGUGGACACAGACAGAGGAUUUGCUGCAGUAGUCGGCAAUGCAGCACCACCUCCAAGGGCUGCAUUUCCUAGUUUUCGAAAGGGUGCGGCCAAAAGCCACAGGGGACGAAAGGCAACGUGGCUGUGGCGAACGAGAAGAUGGGCGACGUGUUUGCGGUGAACGAGACUGGUAGGUGAGCGGCUGUACCACAUGUUCCGAGUAGAGUUGUCGGCGCUGUUAGACCGCGGUGGGCGAAACAUUGCGGGCAUUUCCCUCAAUACGGCUAAUACCCCUGACACAUGGGCAAAGCUAAAGUCCUUUCCAGUAAACCCCUUUUGCUACUCUGAAGGACCCUUUGCAGAAAGGAGUUGCGCCGAUGACACACGGCACCGCACUGAACUUAUUUAGAUAGUUCCACAGAUGAACGCCGCAAGAAAAAUAGCGCUGGCUGUUAAAGCCACAAGAGAGACAACAUUCUUAAAAAGCUGCGUAUUUAAUUACACUUAGCUACUGUAGAACCUAAAAAUAUAUUUUUUUCAUUGUUGAUGGCUAAUAAUGCUUAUAGUCGUUUAUUUUAUUCGCGUUUUUGCAUUGUUAGCAGCCAUUUAACUUGGUCCAGCAACUAUGUGCAGCCGGUGUUUUGCUGUGCGUGCUGUUUAUUCUGGUGAUGCCCACGUUUCUGUCGUCCUUUUUCACGUCUUUGUCCUCCCUUCCGUUGUGCGCGCAGGCGUAACGCGUUUUAUUCAAUAUGUUAUUCCAACAACUGUGGUUUCUUCUGGGUAUUUCCUGCGGGCGCUGAUUGUGCAGUCUCCAUCUCGCGACGUGAACACACCACAUGCGCGCAGCAAACGACGACGACACUGCCGGAAUUCAACAUGGCGGCACUAGCGACGUUAUGCGAGCGUUUGAGAGUAUAGCUAGAGGAAAUCUUCACUAUUCGACAAAUUGUAUUACCGCUAACAAUUAAAACAUUUUCGCAAGGUAAAAAAAAUACCUAUGGGCACCGUAGUUGUGUGGCAGGUUUCCUUCUAUUGACGAGUUGUGCACGCUGUGUGCGAGAGUAACUCCUUUUCCACUCGAAAAGUAGUUGCGCGAUCUCCUUUCCCGAAAAAGAACUUUGCCGUAAAGGAGAUACUCCUUUGUCGUGUGUCACUGCACUUGAACGCCUUUCCGGUAGAUGUCCCCUUACCUAAAGGACUUUAGAGUGCCCGUGUGUCAGGGGUAUAAGGUUGGUCGGUGUGCGAGGUGUUGAGGGCUACGAGUUGCAACAGUAUCGGGCGACAUGACCAAUACGGCGACAGGUGAAACAUAUUGGCUGGUCAUCCGCAGUUCUCCACUCAGUCGGGUUGCGAUAACGCGGAGAGAAGCGUCGGGGUGGAGCGAAAAUAGCAGAAAGGCGUUCGUUAGCUCUGGGAUUGGCAACUGCACACACAGAAUGCAAACCAAUGUUUUCAAGUUCCUGGCGAAUGAUGGCUUGUACGAGGGGAACUGAAAAUGUGGUACCAUCAGGGCUAUGUGAACAGAAAGCUGCAGGCGCCAUCGUAUCCAGUUCUUGUCGAACGAUUCGCACCACGUCCUCUGAUGGCGACGCAUGCUGCUGUGCGGGUUGAUCUUCACAUGUCGACGUUGCGGCAGUAUUGGGAACUCUGGUGAAUGGUUGCAAGACGCGUCGGCUUUUGGCCUGCUCGAAUUGUUGGCACUCUUUAAUGAUUGCAUCAACUGUAGAACAGCUUUUGCACAUGAGCUGAUUAAACGCGUCAUCAGCAAUGCCCUUAAGCACGUGCCCGACCUUCUCAGCUUCUGUCAUGUCGUGAUCGGCUUUACGACAAAGUACCAGCACGUCCUGGAUGUACGAAACAUAGGACUCCGUGGGGUAUUGGACACGGGAGGCCAGUUCCUGCUUUGCGGCAAUUUUACGGCCGGCUGGUUUGCCAAACAACUCUGUCAAUUUCUCUUUGCAUUGGUCCCAGCUGGUUAGCUCCUCUUCGUGGUUUUCGUACCACACCUUUGCCGUGCCUCUUAGGUAGAAUAACAGGUUAGCUAGCAUAAGCGUAGGAUCCUAUCUGUUGAUUUCACUCAUGCAUUCGUACAUGGCCACCCACUCUUCAACGUUGGUGCCAUCGGUCCCGCAGAAAGGUCCAGGAUCCUUGGGUUGCACAACGACAACCGUAGGCGACAGUGACGUAGUAUGCGAUGGUUACAUAGGAGGCGGAAACGACGUUGAUCCCGAUUGCUCACCGUCAUUCAUGGUGCGAAUGGUGAUGCGACGUCCACUACGGAGCUCCGUUUACAGCCGUGGUACCCCGAACCUCCCACCAAUAUGUUACAGGGAUGUUGGGAGUAUAGGAGAUUGUAUUUAUGAUAUAUAUAUAUAUACAAGAUGAGUCAUAAGAUGGCUGACCACCAACAACACGCAGGAGCCAGCAUCCUGCGAUCUUCUUCCUCUUUCUUCUUUCAUUCAUUUGUAACGAUAUAUAUAUAUAGUGAACUCCUGAACAACACUCAGCAAUCUGGUGAACAUGGUUUAAAUCAUGGAUGCAGGACCUCAAAGAGGUGAGACAUAAUGCACCAUAACAUAUUUCUCUUGCAUUUACUGCUAAAUUGGCACUGAACUUUUUUCUUACAGUUGCAGUUUCAGGUUAAACUUGUUAUGAAGUGCUUGCAUGUAUUAGUGUGUGAAUCUAACAUACAGUAGACUUCCAUUAAUUCGAUCCACAUCCUGUGCAUUUAUAUGGGCCUAAGCUUUCGUUAUUUCGAUCUCGAAAUUGCUUUACCAGAUAAUCUGAACUUGGCCAGUCAGCACUACAUAGAUUUUCGAGCAAUAACCGUAGCUCAUAAUGUCUAAUUACAGUAGUUAUCCAACCCUAAUGCGUGUAUUUCAUUUCAUUUUUUUCAAGAAGAUUGGACCAAAACUUGACUGCACAAUGUAAUAGGAUCGCCUUUGUGGCAUUUGUAUAACUUACCGAACAGCACUGUAGCGCAGCAAAGCUGACUUCAAAAUAUUGUGCAGCAAAGCUGACUUUAGGGUUCCGGCCGCCAAUGUGCACCUUGCCCAUUUUUCUUGCUAAAAAUCUGGUACGAGUUAGAUUUCUACUUUGUUUCGGAGCUUUAAUUUUAUUUCUACAUUAGUUUUCUGCUUUGGACACAUAAAGUGGGUGCUCGUUUGCUUAGGGGGCGUGUUAGAUUCGGGCAAAUGAAUCAGCGGUGCAUUUUGGCUUUUUUUUCUGCAUCUUGUUUAAUCUGACCCACUAAAUAAUUAGAUCAAUUUCAUCGGUCCCAUCAGGGUAAAAUUAACGGAAGUUGACUCUAUUAAAUUCCUUUUCUUCUACUGA